CAGUUAAGAGUAGUAGNAGAUGAAGUGUAUAUAAUACAGUCAUCCAAAAUAUGAUAUAAGCUCUACAUAUCAGCAUAGAGUCUUUCAAAAGAAGAAAAGAGUAAAGGAAUUAAACUAUACAAAUAAAACUAACAACCUAGACUACUCAACUGCAGUGCCAGGGACUUCAACCGUAUCAGCUACGUCUAAAACCUGCUCCAGAGGGGCCUCUGAAAUAUCUGCUCACAUCCAAUUUGGAUGAUCAUUGCAAAAGAAAACAAGCACAAACAAGAAAUAGCAGCAAACAAAGCAAGGGUAAGCUAGAAUUCAAUGAAAACAAGUCAAUNACAAUUAAACAUAGUAAAAGAGACAUACAAUACAACAAGCAAGGAAGAACAAAUUAUUUAAUUUAUGGUUUGUUGUUUUAUUAAGUAGUGUUAGACUUAGACUCGUCCGGACCCGGAAUGAAUAUCGAGCUAUGGCGGGUCAUGCACUUGUGGUGGCCUCUACUGCUUUGCAAAGCCAUUGCCAAUGGGUUUCACCCUACCACACACAAGGUUAUCCGUUAUCACUCACCUUGGCCCAUAUACAAUGGAGACAACCAAGACUAGGACCCCUACUGCUCUUCACCACAUGAACUACUCUUCUCUAAGUGAGAUUGAAUAGUCAUUAGAGCUUUAAGGGCAACCCCCAAGACUGAGCUACCUAUAUUCAUUCCAGAAACUCAACUCAAAUCUCACCUAGAGAUAACACUUGAAUCAUUGAAUCAACUUAUAUACAUAUACCAUCUCUUCUUUACUGAUUUUAAGUUAUUAACCAUUCACAGUUCAUCAUAUCAUACUAAUUAAAGUCAUACAAGGUAAAUCAAAAAUCAUACAUGGAUCAGCACACAAUAAAAAGAAAAGAAAGUACAAUUAUCUUUAUAAUCUUUAAUUUCCAAUACUUAAGUAAUUCAAAUGGCUUGGAGACCCUCACCAAUGGAUCCGGAAGGGUCAAAAACCCCCAGAACGACCUAAAGAAUGUCCAAAACGGACGUCCGGAGCUCCCAAAACGUCAAAAACAUCAAAAAUACUCAUCCUGUCGUAGAAAAUUCGCUGAGCGCACACCCUGUGGUGCGCUGAGCGAAUUUUGUCUGCUAAAAAUCAUUCGCAGAGCGCACAGAGUGCGCUGUGCGACUCUGUAUAAUCUGCAGGGCGAAUUUCUGCAGAUUUUAGGAACUCACACACCCAGAAUUUGUUCUAGGCCAAAUUAUGAACUUUGGAUGAUCCUAACUCGACCUCUAUGAUGUUUUAGACUUGUCUAGAUGUUUCUAAUCUAUCCUAACACAAUUCUCUAGCUGAUAUGCAUGGAUUUACCUCCUAAAAUUUCCAUUUCAUGAACCUAAGGGUCUAAUUCUGAUUUUACCAAUUCCAAGUUAAUUCAGACCAAUUUGGCACUUGUUAUAAGUCAUAAGUGACUUGUCUAAAGGUUCUAAACUGACCAAAACAGUAUAUCCUACCAGAUUCAAUUUAUAGCUACUCUAGUUCCUUUAAUUAAGCCUAAAAUGCCUAAAUCACUAAAUCUUUUACCUAUUAUUCUAGACAGCUGAAUUCUAUUCAGCAUUGUUCAAAAUUUUGCAUUCCAUCUAUUAUAUCCAAUCUAAUACACAAUCAUUCAUCAUGAAUCAAAGGUACAUUUCUCAUCCCACANUACAAACAGUUUCAUAUACAUGAACGAAGUUCAAACACCACAAUCGGAAAAUAACCUCUUUACACACAUGCAGUAAAAUUUCACAUAACUAUGAUACAUUUCUACAAUCAAACAAUUGCAAUACACUCAAUACUAGCUCCCCUUACCUUGAGAUGAAGAAAUUCUAGCUCCCAAAGACAAAUUGNNGCACCGAAUAACCCGNAAGACCCUAGUAUCUCCCAUAGAUCAGUAAUUGAAACCAAGAAACAAAUUCAGAACUUAGAUGAGGCUGGAAUUUUGGGGAAAAACCCAAAUGGAUCACAUGCAAUCAGAUUAUUUGCAUGUUUGCAGUUUUGAGAUGAACAUGAGAAGAGAAUCCACUUACCGGUCGGAUGGAAGGAAUUGACCGNUGGAAUUGGGAACCCUCUGCGUCGGGAUUUCAGGAAC
rnacentral:lncRNA from 1 species